rnacentral:snRNA from 1 species
GUAUGUACCUUCCAAGAAACUUCAUCACCAUGUCUAUACAAAGGCUUUCUCUGCGAAAUCCCUAAAUGUGGGAAUCUCGACUGCAUAAUUUGUGGUAGUGGGGGACUGCAUUUGGGCUCUCCCUCU